ensembl:lncRNA
UAUGAGAACACUAAGCUCAGUAACAACAGCAACAACAACCAAAAGAUCACUUUUAGUUUCCAGUUUCACUAAAAUACCUUUUCUGCUCUCUAUGUCCAUCCUGUGCCCUUCAAUAUGUAGUUAAGUAUAUCUUUUGCUACUGAAAGAUGCCACGUUGGUACAGAUUCACAGAAUUGAGUUUUAGAUCAUCUAAAUCUAUCAGACUCCUGGAGAUGCCUGGAUUCUGCAAGUUGUUUAAGAGAGAAUUGCUGUGGUCAACCAACCUCUCCCUAAUCCAAAAGGAUGAGAAAGAAAGAAUAUUCUAGUGAUGCUGCAUGACUGCGAAACAUACAAGCAAAGCCAGAAGAAAUGCACAAGGAAUCAGAAUCUACUAGAUUUCUAGGGAUACUUCAUAAAGACAUUGAAAAGUGCGUGUGGUGCAGCUCAACAUUUAAGAAGUUCUAUGCGGACCUGUAGAUAUCCUGUAUGUCAAAGAAGAACUCCAGAGAUCUAAGUGCAUUGUAACCCAAAACAGCAAUGAGUGAGCUAAAAAUGAGUAAAGAGUGACACAUUUAAUUUGAAGCCCUGUUGUGCAGUGCCACUGAACCAACUGCUGCAAACAACAGGUCUGGCACUUGGGUCCUUCAGAUAUCCAAGAUCUGCCUACCUACUCAAUGAGGCCCAAGACAUGUUCAAAUCAGAGAAAAAUGUGACAUUUAAACAUAUGAAUGGCAUAAUAAAACCUGCUAUUGCACCACUAGGAUGCUUGUUUUCUGUUACUAAUAACCAGCUCAACCUGUAUAUUUGUAGAGUUACAUGCCCUCCUAGAUCUUAAUAUAACUUGUCCCAUUCAGAUAGGAAUCAGCCAGUUGCUUUUUUCAUUAUUCUCUCCUGAAACAAAACUUCACUGCAGAGACAUGAACGUUAUAGUCUCAAGGUUAGUAUAAACAUGCGAAGUCAGACUUCAGUCAACUGACCCAAUGGGAAAUCGCUAUUGGGAUAGUUCUCUCUCUGGAAGACGGAUCAGGAAAUACUGUACCCUUGUUCUGCUCUUUAUUCUUCUCUAAGGAUUCUGUUCACUGCUCCUAAAGAAAAUAUAUUGAGCUAUAUGGAUAAAGGGUACUGAAAGCACAUCAACAGUCUUCUCUCUUUAAUAACUUUGUUUUCUUGCUAUACAGUAGAAUAGCAUAAAUGGUUCUCUUUUAAAAAUCUUACUAUCUUAAAGUGCAUCUGUAUGUUUUGGGAAAAGAAUAAACCUUGAGACAACAAGGACUGCUUCUGCACAUUGUGUUGCACAUUUAAUGGGUCCUGAAAUUACGCCUUGAAAUCAGCUGGUUCAGCAAAUGAGCUGAAAAAACUUGAAUGCAGUUAAACAUGGAG